rnacentral:rRNA from 1 species
AACAAGGUCUCCGUUGGUGAACCAGCGGAGGGAUCAUUACGGAGUUUACAACUCCCAAACCCAAUGUGAACGUUACCAAACUGUUGCCUCGGCGGGGUCACGCCCCGGGUGCGUCGCAGCCCCGGAACCAGGCGCCCGCCGGAGGAACCAACCAAACUCUUUCUGUAGUCCCCUCGCGGACGUAUUUCUUUACAGCUCUGAGCAAAAAUUCAAAAUGAAUCAAAACUUUCAACAACGGAUCUCUUGGUUCUGGCAUCGAUGAAGAACGCAGCGAAAUGCGAUAAGUAAUGUGAAUUGCAGAAUUCAGUGAAUCAUCGAAUCUUUGAACGCACAUUGCGCCCGCCAGUAUUCUGGCGGGCAUGCCUGUCCGAGCGUCAUUUCAACCCUCGAACCCCUCCGGGGGAUCGGCGUUGGGGAUCGGGACCCCUCACACGGGCGCCGGCCCCUAAAUACAGUGGCGGUCUCGCCGCAGCCUCUCCUGCGCAGUAGUUUGCACAACUCGCACCGGGAGCGCGGCGCGUCCACGUCCGUAAAACACCCAACUUUCUGAAAUGUUGACCUCGGAUCAGGUAGGAAUACCCGCUGAACUUAAGCAU